GUGAGGAAUAUUGCGCAAUGGAGGCAACUCUGACGCAGCCAUGCCGCGUGCAGGAAGAAGGCGCUACGCGUUGUAAACUGCUUUUAACCGGGAAGAAACCCCAGGACGUGUCCUGGGUUGACGGUACCGGAGGAAUAAGCACCGGCUAACUUCGUGCCAGCAGCCGCGGUAAUACGAAGGGUGCAAGCGUUAUCCGGAUUCAUUGGGUUUAAAGGGUGCGUAGGCGGAGCGUUAAGUCAGUGGUGAAAUCCUGCAGCUUAACUGUAGACUUGCCAUUGAUACUGGCGCUCUUGAGUGCGCUUGAAGUGGGCGGAAUGUGCCGUGUAGCGGUGAAAUGCUUAGAUAUGGCACAGAACACCAAUUGCAAAGGCAGCUCACUAAGGCGAUACUGACGCUGAGGCACGAAAGCGUGGGGAUCGAACAGGAUUAGAAACCCUAGUAGUCC
rnacentral:rRNA from 1 species